UCCCUGGUGGUCCAACAGUUAGGACUUGGUGCUCUCACUGCCAUGGCCCAGGUUCAAUCCCUGCUUGGGGAA
rnacentral:tRNA from 1 species